rnacentral:pre_miRNA from 1 species
CGUGCACUGGUGGGGUCCCUUGGCCUGGCCUGUGCCUUCUUGCAAUCUGGGACCCCUCGGGGAAUGUCGAACUGCCAGUUUCAGCCUGAUCCCCGCAGGCCAGGCCAAGGGACCCCAUCGGUGCAUG